UGGGCUGUUCGCCCAUUAAAGUGGUACGCGAGCUGGGUUCAGAACGUCGUGAGACAGUUCGGUCCCUAUCCGUCGCAGGCGUAGGAAAUUUGAGAAGACCUGUCCUUAGUACGAGAGGACCGGGAUGGACGUACCUCUGGUGUACCAGUUGUCCUGCCAAGGGCAUGGCUGGGUAGCUAUGUACGGAAUGGAUAAGCGCUGAAAGCAUCUAAGCGCGAAGCCAACUUCAAGAUAAGAUUUCCCACCGCAAGGGUAAGACCCCAGAAAGACUAUCUGGUUGAUAGGUCGAAGGUGUAAGUGCAGCAAUGUAUUUAGCUUAUCGAUACUAAUAGGUCGAGGACUUGACCAAU
rnacentral:rRNA from 1 species